AAAGCACUGGAAUGUGCGAGCUCUUUCAUUUUUUUUGACCGACUAUAUUUGUAUUGCAUAGGGGUUCAUGAGACAUUCGGUAGCGUAAUACCUCGAACGAAAGUAGGGGAAGCUGAUGCGAAGCGAGAACACCCACCUAGCGUUUUAGCGGGUUCAAUACACGGAGGAGCACACGGCAUUCAAUCAGUGUUUUU
rnacentral:other from 1 species